ACUGGGANUGAGACACGGCCCAGACUCNUACGGGAGGCAGCAGUGGGGAAUCUUGCGCAAUGGGCGAAAGCCUGACGCAGCAACGCCGCGUGCGGGAUGAAGGCCUUCGGGUUGUAAACCGCUUUCAGCAGGGACGAAACUGACGGUACCUGCAGAAGAAGCACCGGCCAACUACGUGCCAGCAGCCGCGGUAAUACGUAGGGUGCAAGCGUUGUCCGGAUUUAUUGGGCGUAAAGAGCUCGUAGGCGGCUUGGCAAGUCGGGUGUGAAAACUACAGGCUCAACCUGUAGAUGCCACUCGAGACUGCUAUGGCUAGAGUCUGGUAGGGGAGCACGGAAUUCCUGGUGUAGCGGUGAAAUGCGCAGAUAUCAGGAGGAACACCGGUGGCGAAGGCGGUGCUCCUGGGCCAG
rnacentral:rRNA from 1 species